rfam:Punica granatum cultivar Dabenzi scaffold158, whole genome shotgun sequence.
AAUCAGGUGAUGAGAGAAAAAAAACUGCAACAAUAUGAUGGGACUUGGUUCCAUGAUUCCUUUGUAUUUAAGUCUCUGAUGAUU